rnacentral:tRNA from 1 species
AGCUCAGUUGGUAGAGCACAUCACUUUUAAUGAUGGGGUCCUGGGUUCGAGCCC